UACGUAGAGUGCAAGCGUUGUCCGGAAUUAUUGGGCGUAAAGAGCUCGUAGGCGGUUCGUCACGUCGGCUGUGAAAACCUGAGGCUCAACCUCAGGCCUGCAGUCGAUACGGGCGGACUUGAGUACUGCAGGGGAGACUGGAAUUCCUGGUGUAGCGGUGAAAUGCGCAGAUAUCAGGAGGAACACCGGUGGCGAAGGCGGGUCUCUGGGCAGUAACUGACGCUGAGGAGCGAAAGCGUGGGGAGCGAACAGG
rnacentral:rRNA from 1 species